UUCGGAGUGCUUCUGACUUUCCUUAUACCUACCCCCAUAGACCGCGCAGGGGGAACUUAGUCCCGGUGAAGCGAAUACACGUCACCACCGGAAGCAGUGUCAAAGGGGAAGAGAGGGGGAAAGACAGGAGGAGGGAGUCCUUUG
rnacentral:miRNA from 1 species